rnacentral:rRNA from 1 species
UACGUAGGUGGCAAGCGUUGUCCGGAAUUAUUGGGCGUAAAGCGCGCGCAGGCGGUCCUUUAAGUCUGAUGUGAAAGCCCACGGCUCAACCGUGGAGGGUCAUUGGAAACUGGGGGACUUGAGUACAGAAGAGAAGAGUGGAAUUCCACGUGUAGCGGUGAAAUGCGUAGAGAUGUGGAGGAACACCAGUGGCGAAGGCGGCAUCCUGGACCGGCAUUGACGCUGAUGAGCGAAAGCUAGGGGAGCAAACGGG